AUUGUGUCAGGCCAUGGAAACAUGCCACCCAAAGCUUGUAGAGGGUGCAGCCUGCGCCAAGCCCCAGGAGGACUGGGU
rfam:Ilheus virus strain Original, complete genome